GACGAACGCUGGCGGCGUGCUUAACACAUGCAAGUCGAACGGAAAGGCCCUGCUUUUGUGGGGUGCUCGAGUGGCGAACGGGUGAGUAACACGUGAGUAACCUGCCCUUGACUGUGGGAUAACUUCAGGAAACUGGGGCUAAUACCGGAUAGGAGCUCCUGCCGCAUGGUGGGGGUUGGAAAGUUUCGGCGGUUGGGGAUGGACUCGCGGCUUAUCAGCUUGUUGGUGGGGUAGUGGCUUACCAAGGCUUUGACGGGUAGCCGGCCUGAGAGGGUGACCGGCCACAUUGGGCCUGAGAUACGGCCCAGACUCGUACGGGAGGCAGCGGUGGGGAAUAUUGCACAAUGGGCGGAAGCCUGAUGCAGCAACGCCGCGUGCGGGAUGACGGCCUUCGGGUUGUAAACCGCCUUCGCCUGUGACGAAGCGUGAGUGACGGUAAUGGGUAAAGAAGCACCGGCUAACUACGUG
rnacentral:rRNA from 1 species